ensembl:lncRNA
AGUGUGUCCGUGAGAGCGGCGCCCUGACAUACAGCUGGUUGGGGACUGACUGCCUCUGGCAUCCACACCUGGUUCCAGUAACUCACUCCACAGGACUGAGCUACAUUACAGUACGGUUUAUCUUGCAGAGUGUUUACUGCCAGAGGAUUUCUCCUUGGGCAUCAGGCACAGAUGUGCGCCCAAGUACAGCAUAUGGGGCUUGAUUCCUGUAUACGUCCAAGCUAAUGUGAAAGUCUGGGUUGCGCUGUUUGUUGCUCGCCAGUACCGUGUGGGUGAGCAAACUAUACUAAGGAGGUAGGUUGUGCAAUUUUAAUCUACAUCCUUUAGGCCAUGGGGAGAUUAACAUAAUGUUCUUUCCUAUGGUAGAAGGUCAGACCUGAACCAGACCUGGUAAGUCCAGGGUCCUACCUACUGGUGCACCGGUGCAUUGGGCCUAGGAGGCUGAACUGGUGACACGGAGUGGCCAGCAGGGCAGCCACUGCUCUUUUUCUCCGACUAUAGUUUUUGUUUAGAUUAUGCUCUAGUGCCUCCAUCUUGCUCUCUCUCUCUUUAUAGAAAUAACAAACUGAUAUUGUGCCUUUUUGAUGACCGUUGCUUCCCCCUUCCCCACUUCUAUUGUGUUGUGUCUUUUUAACCAGGAUCUUUAACCUUAUUUGUGUGUGUUGGUUUGUAGUGUUGUCUAUUUUAGCCUUUCUUAGCAGUGUGCAG